CAACUGACGGAGAGAGAGAACGGAAUUAUUACGGAGAGUUCUAAGAGAGACCGCCCCCAAAGCUGGCGCGAAUCAUUAACCGAUUCGCAAAACGGGUAAUAUUUCAAAAUUUGUUUCUGCUUAACUUGCUGCAUUCUAAGCAAGCGUUGACUUUUAGUUUCGAGAUGUUAGAACUAAAUGCAAACAAAAUCACUUUUUGUCGAAAUUUCAAGCGAACAACAUCGAUUUUGGCUCGUGAAAAAAUCUCUGUGAUUUUUUCCAAAUUCGUGUAAAAAUGCCAGCAAAAAAAGAAUCAAGCAAGGGUGCCAAGAAAGGAGCUGCCGCUCCAGCUGGUGCCAAGCCGACCGCCGAUCCUGUGGCUUCCGAAUCGACCACCGCAGCCGAACCAGCCGCCAAGGAAGCCAAGGGUUCCAAGAAGGGCAAGGGCAAAAAGAAGUAAGUUCCCCAACUAGUUUGGUGGAACUAACUUAAAAAGAGGAAUUAAAUGUUUCCGUAGAACAAUAAACCAAUGGUUUAAAACAA